rnacentral:rRNA from 1 species
CAUGCAAGUCGAACGGGCUUAAGGGGCUUGCUCCUUAAGUUAGUGGCGAACGGGUGAGUAACAUAUCGGAACGUAUCCAAUAAUGGGGGAUAACUAAUCGAAAGGUUGGCUAAUACCGCAUACGCCCUACGGGGGAAAGCAGGGGAUCUUCGGACCUUGCGUUAAUGGAGCGGCCGAUAUCUGAUUAGCUAGUUGGUGGGGUAAAGGCUCACCAAGGCGACGAUCAGUAGCUGGUCUGAGAGGACGACCAGCCACACUGGAACUGAGACACGGUCCAGACUCCUACGGGAGGCAGCAGUGGGGAAUUUUGGACAAUGGGCGCAAGCCUGAUCCAGCCAUUCCGCGUGAGUGAAGAAGGCCUUCGGGUUGUAAAGCUCUUUCGCAAGGGAAGAAACGUUACGGGUGAAUAGCCCGUGAUAAUGACGGUACCUUGAUAAGAAGCACCGGCUAACUACGUGCCAGCAGCCGCGGUAAUACGUAGGGUGCGAGCGUUAAUCGGAAUUACUGGGCGUAAAGCGUGCGCAGGCGGUUUUGUAAGUCAGAUGUGAAAUCCCCGAGCUCAACUUGGGAACUGCGUUUGAAACUACAAGACUAGAAUAGGUCAGAGGGGGGUAGAAUUCCACGUGUAGCAGUGAAAUGCGUAGAGAUGUGGAGGAAUAUCAAUGGCGAAGGCAGCCCCCUGGGAUCAUAUUGACGCUCAUGCACGAAAGCGUGGGGAGCAAACAGGAUUAGAUACCCUGGUAGUCCACGCCCUAAACGAUGUCAACUAGUUGUUGGUAGAGUAAAAUCUAUGAGUAACGCAGCUAACGCGUGAAGUUGACCGCCUGGGGAGUACGAUCGCAAGAUUAAAACUCAAAUGAAUUGACGGGGCCCGCACAAGCGGUGGAUUAUGUGGAUUAAUUCGAUGCAACGCGAAAAACCUUACCUGGCCUUGACAUGUACGGAACUUUCAGAGAUGAUUGGUGCUCGUAAGAAGACGUAACACAGUGCUGCAUGUCUGUCGUCAGCUCGUGUCGUGGAGAUGUUGGGUUAAGUC